UACGUAGGGUGCAAGCGUUAAUCGGAAUUACUGGGCGUAAAGCGUGCGCAGGCGGCUUUGCAAGUCAGAUGUGAAAUCCCCGGGCUUAACCUGGGAACUGCAUUUGUGACUGCAUGGCUGGAGUGCGGCAGAGGGGGAUGGAAUUCCGCGUGUAGCAGUGAAAUGCGUAGAUAUGUGGAGGAAUACCGAUGGCGAAGGCAGCCCCCUGGGCCAAUACUGACGCUCAUGCACGAAAGCGUGGGGAGCAAACAGG
rnacentral:rRNA from 1 species